GGGACGGUAGCUCAAUCGCGGAGAGCGUCCGGCUUGCACCCGGGAGGCUGCGGGUUCGAAUCCCGCCCGCUCCA
rnacentral:tRNA from 1 species